CAGGCAUGAACCACCACACCUGAUCAUCUUUUCGUGAGCAUUUUUUAUAUCGAUGGUUCUCUGCUGGGAUGACUUUGCCUCCAAGCCCCUGCUGGCGGGGCUCUCAGACUGCAGCCCCUGUGAAUACUCACAUGCCCAGCAAUUGUCCCUUAGUGGACUGAUCAGGGCCACUGAAGGAUGAGAGAGAGAAUACAUGGCAGGAACAACGAUUUCAACUCCAAGGAGAGGUGUGAUGUGUGAAGGGGA